AUGGGCGCAAGCCUGAUGCAGCCAUGCCGCGUGUGUGAAGAAGGCCUUAGGGUUGUAAAGCACUUUCAGUCAGGAGGAAAGGUUAGUAGUUAAUACCUGCUAGCUGUGACGUUACUGACAGAAGAAGCACCGGCUAACUCCGUGCCAGCAGCCGCGGUAAUACGGAGGGUGCGAGCGUUAAUCGGAAUUACUGGGCGUAAAGCGUACGCAGGCGGUUUGUUAAGCGAGAUGUGAAAGCCCCGGGCUUAACCUGGGAACUGCAUUUCGAACUGGCAAACUAGAGUGUGAUAGAGGGUGGUAGAAUUUCAGGUGUAGCGGUGAAAUGCGUAGAGAUCUGAAGGAAUACCGAUGGCGAAGGCAGCCACCUGGGUCAACACUGACGCUCAUGUACGAAAGCGUGGGGAGCAAACAGGAUUAGAUACCCUGGUAGUCCACGCCGUAAACGAUGUCUACUAGGAGCUGGGGUCUUCGGACAACUUUUCCAAAGCUAACGCAUUAAGUAGACCGCCUGGGGAGUACGGCCG
rnacentral:rRNA from 1 species